rnacentral:rRNA from 1 species
GACGAACCGUGCGAACGUUAUUCGGAAUCAUUGGGCUUAAAGGGCGCGUAGGCGGCGGUGUAAGUUGGACGUGAAAUCCCAUCGGCUCAACCGUGGAAUUGCUCCCAGUACUGCAUCGCUCGAGGGGGAUAGGGGUCUGCGGAACUACCGGUGGAGCGGUGAAAUGUGUUGAUAUCGGUGGGAACGCCAGUGGCGAAAGCGGCAGACUAGACCCUUCCUGACGCUGAUGCGCGAAAGCUAGGGGAGCGAACAGG